rnacentral:rRNA from 1 species
GACGAACACUGGCGGCGUGCUUAACACAUGCAAGUCGAACGGAAAGGCCCUGCUCUUGUGGGGUGCUCGAGUGGCGAACGGGUGAGUAACACGUGAGUAACCUGCCCUUGACUUUGGGAUAACUUCAGGAAACUGGGGCUAAUACCGGAUAGGAGCUCCUGCUGCAUGGUGGGGGUUGGAAAGUUUCGGCGGUUGGGGAUGGACUCGCGGCUUAUCAGCUUGUUGGUGGGGUAGUGGCUUACCAAGGCUUUGACGGGUAGCCGGCCUGAGAGGGUGACCGGCCACAUUGGGACUGAGAUACGGCCCAGACUCCUACGGGAGGCAGCAGUGGGGAAUAUUGCACAAUGGGCGGAAGCCUGAUGCAGCAACGCCGCGUGCGGGAUGACGGCCUUCGGGUUGUAAACCGCUUUCGCCUGUGACGAAGCGUGAGUGACGGUAAUGGGUAAAGAAGCACCGGCUAACUACGUG